UGCACAAUAAUUGGUAUCAGAGCAAAAUGGUACCAGAACGUAGGUUGCGGCAGUAGUGAUCGAGAUAGAAGAUGGAGAAGAUAAGCACAAUCAAGAUGGAGAUCAAUCAGUUUGAUGGAAAGAGUAAUUUCUCCUUGUGACAAGUAAGGGUGAAGAAUGUGCUUAUCUAACAAGGGUUGAUCGAUGCUCUCUUGUGUGAGGAGAAACUGACUACCAUGAAAGUGCAUGAUUGGAGAUGGCUCCAG
rnacentral:lncRNA from 1 species